UACGAAGGGGGCUAGCGUUGCUCGGAAUUACUGGGCGUAAAGCGCACGUAGGCGGCUUUCUAAGUCGGGGGGUGAAAUCCUGGAGCUCAACUCCAGAACUGCCUUCGAUACUGGGUAUCUCGAGUCCGAGAGAGGUGAGUGGAAUUCCGAGUGUAGAGGUGAAAUUCGUAGAUAUUCGGAGGAACACCAGUGGCGAAGGCGGCUCACUGGCUCGGUACUGACGCUGGAGACGCGGAAAGCGUGGGGAGCAAAACAGG
rnacentral:rRNA from 1 species